rnacentral:tRNA from 1 species
GGGGCGUUAGCUCAGCUGGGAGAGCACCGCCUUUGCAAGGCGGGGGUCAAGGGUUCGAACCCCUUACGCUCCA